rnacentral:rRNA from 1 species
UGGGGAAUAUUGGACAAUGGGCGGAAGCCUGAUCCAGCAACGCCGCGUGAGGGAUGACGGCCUUCGGGUUGUAAACCUCUUUCAGCACAGACGAAGCGCCUGUGAAGGUGGUGACGGUAUGUGCAGAAGAAGCACCGGCCAACUACGUGCCAGCAGCCGCGGUAAUACGUAGGGUGCGAGCGUUGUCCGGAAUUAUUGGGCGUAAAGGGCUCGUAGGCGGUUUGUCGCGUCGGGAGUGAAAUCCACUGGCUUAACUGGUGGCUUGCUUUCGAUACGGGCAGACUGGAGGUAUGCAGGGGAGAACGGAAUUCCUGGUGUAGCGGUGAAAUGCGCAGAUAUCAGGAGGAACACCGGUGGCGAAGGCGGUUCUCUGGGCAUGUCCUGACGCUGAGGAGCGAAAGUGUGGGGAGCGAACAGGAUUAGAUACCCCCGUAGUCC